AACGAACGCUGGCGGCAGGCUUAACACAUGCAAGUCGAACGGGCAUAGCAAUAUGUCAGUGGCAGACGGGUGAGUAACACGUGGGAACCUUCCUAGAGGUACGGAACAACGCAGGGAAACUUGUGCUAAUACCGUAUACGCUCGAGAGAGGAAAGAUUUAUCGCCUUUAGACGGGCCCGCGUAGGAUUAGGUAGUUGGUGAGGUAACGGCUCACCAAGCCUACGAUCCUUAGCUGAUCUGAGAGGAUGAUCAGCCACACUGGGACUGAGACACGGCCCAGACUCCUACGGGAGGCAGCAGUGGGGAAUCUUGGACAAUGGGUGCAAGCCUGAUCCAGCCAUGCCGCGUGAGUGAAGAAGGCCUUCGGGUUGUAAAGCUCUUUUACCAGGGACGAUAAUGACGGUACCUGGAAAAUAAGCCCCGGCUAACUUCGUGCCAGCAGCCGCCGUAA
rnacentral:rRNA from 1 species